UUACUUAGCUUCUUAGCCGUAUGGCUAAUGGCUGGUGGUUUUUUAACCACCGGCCU
rnacentral:sRNA from 1 species